CCCGCACGAAAGGCGUAACGAUUUGGGCACUGUCUCAACAACAGACUCGGUGAAAUUGUAAUUCCGGUGAAGAUGCCGGAUACCUGCGACAGGACGGAAAGCCCCCAUGGAGCUUUACUGUAGCUUGACAUUGGGUCUUGGUACUACAUGUACAGGAUAGGUGGGAGGCUUUGAAACCAGGACGCCAGUUUUGGCGGAGCCAUCCU
rnacentral:rRNA from 1 species